CUGAUCUGCAAGUCCGGUGUGAAAUCCAUGGGCUCAACUCAUGGACGUGCACCGGAUACUGCAGGUCUAGGGACCGGAGGGCGUCGAGGCUAUUCCCGGGGUAGGAGUGAAAUCCUAAAAUCCCGGGAGGAGCGCCUGUGGCGAAAGCGCUCGACGACUACGGAUCCGACGGUGAGGAACGAAAGCCGGGGGAGCAAAGCGGAUUAGAUACCCGCGUAGUCCCGGCCGUAAACAAUGUGCGCUUGAUGUCAGGUAACUCUAGUAGUUGCCUGGUGCCGAAGGAAAACCGUUAAGCGCACCGCCUGGGGA
rnacentral:rRNA from 1 species